UGGAAAGAUUAGACUGGCUGAGUCUUCCAGCCUUCAUCCUCCUCCUGUGCUGGAUGCUUCCUGCCCUCAAACAUCAGACUCCAUGUUCUUCAGCUUUUGGUUUCUUGGACUUACACCAGUGAUUUGCCAGGGACUCCCAGGCCUUUGGCCACAGACUGAAGGCUGCACUGUCAGCCUCCUUACUUGUGAGGUUUUGGGACUUGGACUGGCUUCCUUGAUCCUCAGCUUGCAGACAGACUAUUGUGGGACUUCACCUGGUGAUCGUGUUUGGAGCUGCACCAUGCUUCCUCAGAGAAAAUGCCCCAGAAGGGUUCAUCAUCCAUCUGAUGAAGAACCUAGUCUCUCACUUAAGCACUCAUCCGAGCCUGCUAGUCAGCUACAGGAUGCUUGCAAAGACGUUUCAGACCCCAAGGGCAUCUAUCAACCUCUUCCAGCUGUUUGCAUGCUAAGCAUGAUACAGAAAGAAAAAGAUGACAGUGUUUGCCUCCAAGGAGCUUAAAAUCAUACCCAACAAUAGAUAUUAAUGACCUGACUUGAGAUAAUUUAGUGUAUGUAUUGUUUUAGAAUCUUUGAAUUCCUUUCUAGUCCUCUGUUUCUAGAACAACCACAAAAA
rnacentral:lncRNA from 10 species